AGACCCUGAGGACCAGUCUCCUGGAGAAUGGGGACCAAAUGGGAUCUUCACAUCAGAUGAAGAGAAGACCGUCCGUCAGAGGAAGAAACAUCACCAGGGACCCCAACUUGGACUUCUCUGGAGUGUCAGAUUGCUGAAAAGGGAGUAAUGCAGGGUCAAAGGGCACUGGAAAGAGAAGCAGAGUCCCACCAGGGACUGAUGAGUAUACAGACAAAUACAGAAGAAAAGACUUCUGAAUUAAUAAGAUUGUUGGAAAGUCACCAAAGAUACUGUGAUUAACCCUGUUAACACUACAUUACCCACAACUUGUCACCAAAACUGUGACUCUGUUAUGCCUUUGGGAUUUUUUUUUUUUUUUUUUUUUUGCCC